rnacentral:pre_miRNA from 1 species
GGAGGUGAAACGGUGGAGAACCUAGGUGACAACGAGAGAGAGCACGCUGGAAUGCUUUUCAUGCAAUACGCUUGGAUGUGUUCUAGCGUGCCCUCUACCGUUGUCGCCAAACAUCUUCUCCAUGACUUCUCCUCU